GAACGCGGGAGCACCUAGCAGUUAUCAAGAGGCACUGGGCCGGAUGGACAGGCCCAGUGGUUGCUCCAUCUGCUGCCAUGGGGGGCAGGGAGGCCUGCUCGGCUCACCCCCUGGCCAUGCUCAGGGAAAUGUGGGUAUCCGAUACCCUGAUCUAUUAUGGAUGCUCGGAUAUUUCCCAGGACACAUCUUCACCCUGUGUAUUGAAGGCUUUUGCAGAUAAUUGCAGUCAGCACAAUAUCAGAAAGGCUCACCUGAAUUAUUCAGGUGCUGCAAGUGGCCUUGGCAACCCUUUAGGAACUCCGAUAAGCUGCUUUAAAGACGUUCAGUUUUAACUAUGUCCAGCAAAAAAUGGAAUGCUGAGCAAUGUCCAAACCACUGAAGCAAAAUGCAGACUGGGCUGAAGUUAAUGGGACUUCUCCACUUUGCUUCCAAUGGGGCUCAGAAUUCAGCCUGGCUCCUGAUAAAAAUGAAUUUUUAAAAUUCCUCAAGGCAUUCAUGAGGCAGCAUCAAGGAAGAAAGAAAAAUAACAAAAGCUUCAGGGUACCUGCUGAAUUUCAACAAGGAAAAGUGAACAUUUACCUCCCGAAAAGAGCAAUGUAUUUCUGUUUUCACAGCCCUGUCUUUUGACUUGUACUCAUUUCUGCUGCUCCCUCAGGUAACAGGAGAAAAGUCAAUUUCUCCUUUGUUCCAUAAAUCAUACAAGAACUCUUCUUCA